AGUCUGGUGCCAGCAGCCGCGGUAAUUCCAGCUCAAUUAGCGUAUUCUAGCGUUGUUGCAGUUAAAACGCCCGUAGUUGAAAGUUGAGUCACAACGACAAGCGGGCUGGUCUCGCGAGUCGGUUCGUGGCUUUUUCUGCAAGUUACUCACCGUGGCCCUUAAUUGAGUUGCGGAGAUGAGGGUUUGCAAUUUGACCGUGAAUAAUUCUAGUUGCUCCAAGCAGGCGUCUCGCUUGCAAGGUACAGCACGGGAUCAUGAAAGAUGCUCAAGCAAAUUUUGUUGGUUUUGUUUGCUAGAGAAUGAUAAAUAGGAACAGUUGGCGGAGAUUGUACUGCACUGGGGAGAGGUGAAAUUUGAUGAUCCGUGCAAGACAAACAACUGCGAAAGCAUUCUCCGAGGAUGUUUUCGUUAAUCAAGGACGAAAGUAGGGGGAGCGAAGAUGAUCAGAGACCGUUGUAGUCCCUACCCUAAACGAUGCCGACUGAGGAUGAGAUUACGUUCUAAGACUUUUCUCGCACUCAUAGAGUAAUCUGGAGUGUUUGGGUUCUGGGGAGAGUACGGCCGCAAGACUGAAAUUUAAAGAAAUUGACGGAAGGGCACCACCAGGGGUGGAACCUGCGGCUCAAUUUGACCCAACACGGGGAAACUUACGAGGUCAGGACAGGAGAAGGAUUGACAGAUUGAAGUUCUUUCAAGAUUUUUUGGGUGGUGGUGCAUGGCCGUUCUUAGUUAGUGUUGUGAAAUGUCUGCUUUAUUGCGAUAACUAGCGAGACCACUGCGGCAUAGUACGACGAGUCAGUGAGCAAUUGCUGGCCCGCUUCGAUUUUGCCGGACAACCCGUGUUUAACGGGAGGAAGUUGGUGGCGAUAACAGGUCUGUGAUGCCCUUAGACGUCCUCGGCUGCACGCGCGUUACACUGAGAUGGCCAACAAGUUUCACUUGCGCGAAAGCGCUGGUCAAUCUUUGAACCCAUCUCGUGCUUGGGAUUGAGAGCUGGAAUGUUCUCAUGAACGAGGAAUCCCUUGUAUGCGCAGUUCAUCAAACUGCACAGAAUACGUCCCUGCCCUUUGUACACACCGCCCGUCGCUGUUUCCGAUUGAAACUACUGGUGAGGUCAUUGGAGGUGGCGAGUCGUGGCGCAAGCCACUAUCGCUGUUAAAGUUGAUCAAAUCAUUAGUUUUAGAGGAAGCAAAAGUCGU
rnacentral:rRNA from 1 species